rnacentral:rRNA from 1 species
UAUUGGACAAUGGGCGCAAGCCUGAUCCAGCAAUACCGCGUGUGUGAAGAAGGCCUUAGGGUUGUAAAGCACUUUCAAUUGGGAGGAAAACCUGCCGGUCAAUACCCGGUAGCUUGACAUUACCUUUAGAAGAAGCACCGGCUAACUCCGUGCCAGCAGCCGCGGUAAUACGGAGGGUGCGAGCGUUAAUCGGAAUUACUGGGCGUAAAGCGUGCGUAGGCGGUUCGUUAAGUCAGAUGUGAAAGCCCUGGGCUCAACCUGGGAACUGCAUUUGAAACUGGCGGACUAGAGUUUAGUAGAGGGGAGUGGAAUUUCAGGUGUAGCGGUGAAAUGCGUAGAUAUCUGAAGGAACACCAGUGGCGAAGGCAGCCACCUGGGUCAACACUGACGCUCAUGACGAAA